rfam:Pristionchus pacificus strain PS312 contig10551, whole genome shotgun sequence.
GGGGGUAUAGCACAGUGGUAGAGCACCCGCAUACGUAUCGGAAGGUCGGGGGUUCGACUCCCUCUGCCUCCA